rnacentral:rRNA from 1 species
GACGAACGCUGGCGGCGUGCCUAAUACAUGCAAGUAGAACGCAGUUGCGAACGGGUGAGUAACGCGUAGGUAACUGCCUCAUAGCGGGGGAUAACUAUUGGAAACGAUAGCUAAUACCGCAUACUGGGAGAUGGACCUGCGUUGUAUUAGCUAGUUGGAGAGGUAAAGGCUCACCAAGGCGACGAUGCAUAGCCGACCUGAGAGGGUGAUCGGCCACACUGGGACUGAGACACGGCCCAGACUCCUACGGGAGGCAGCAGUAGGGAAUAUUCGGCAAUGGGGGAAAGCCUGACCGAGCAACGCCGCGUGAGUGAAGAAGGUUUUCGGAUCGUAAAAUUCUGUUGUUAGAGAAGCGGUAUCUAACCAGAAAGCCACGGCUAACUACGUGCCAGCAGCCGCGGUAAUUC